rnacentral:sRNA from 2 species
AAGGGAUGUGAUUGUUAUUGACGAGGAGAUGGUGGGUUAGAGAGAGGGGAGUUACUCUGUAUCUUGCAGGUUUGUUUGCGUCUUGAAAACUUCCGUGGUUGGGUUGGUUUAGUUGUCACUAGAAUUCGACUAUUGGUUUUUCAUGCAUUCGGCUGGCUUGUUUGUUUCUUUGGUUGUUGACUCCAAUUUUGGCUUGGCUAUGACACUGUGAGUACUUCGGAUAUGAAAACAGGAAGAAAAAUCCAAAAGGCGGGAGAGGGCUGCCGCCGGAAGAUUGCGGGAAUAAUGGAGAUUGUUUGAACCCUUCCGUGCCGAGCACAGAGUACAGGGUCCAGUAUACAUUCCUUUGGAACGAAACGAUAGUUAUCAGCGUCUUCGAGUCCUUGCAUCAAUCACCAUUGACAAAAUGGCGCAUUGGUAAGUACACCGUGUCUCUCGAGGUUGUCAAGCCCCAUACAAUCGUGCAUGUCAAUAUGGAGA